UUCACUUCUUUCUCUCAUCUCACUGACACACUAAAGUGCUUGAGAGAUGAAAUCUACGAGAGACAAAACCCAAAAAUAUGAAACCAAAUGUUGGUCACCCUCACCCACAAAGAAGAUGAAAUCCACGGUUCCAGCAGCUUUGCCUUGGGCAAAAUCCAAGUUUGUUUUGGAUACCGAAACCAGGUUUGUUCUGGACGAUGAAACCACCAUGGAGAAGACGAAAUCCACGGCCCUGAUACUUUACUUUGGGCGACGAAAUCCAUGUUUGUUUUAGACGACGAAUCCCCACGGAGGAGACGACUUUGCUCUGGGGACGAAAUCCAGGUUCAUUUUGGAUGGCGAAAGCCCCACGAAGGAGACAAAAUCCACGACCGCGACGACUUUGCUCCGUCGGCGAGCUUCAUUUCCCCUACCAUUGUUCUAGCGAUGAGCGUUGGAGUUUCUGGUGUGAAUGGUGAAGUUUUAAAUCCUGUUAAAUCACGAUGAGAUGAAAUUCAAGGUUUGGUUGAGUUUCUGUGUUUAUGAAUGUAUGAAGAUAGAGUUCUAAUGUAAUGUUCUUGUUGGUUUC